ACUAAGCGUACACGGUGGAUGCCCUGGCAGUCAGAGGCGAUGAAGGACGUGCUAAUCUGCGAUAAGCGUCGGUAAGGUGAUAUGAACCGUUAUAACCGGCGAUUUCCGAAUGGGGAAACCCAGUGUGAUUCGUCACACUAUCAUUAACUGAAUCCAUAGGUUAAUGAGGCGAACCGGGGGAACUGAAACAUCUAAGUACCCCGAGGAAAAGAAAUCAACCGAGAUUCCCCCAGUAGCGGCGAGCGAACGGGGAGCAGCCCAGAGCCUGAAUCAGUGUGUGUGUUAGUGGAAGCGUCUGGAAAGGCGCGCGAUACAGGGUGACAGCCCCGUACACAAAAAUGCACAUGCUGUGAGCUCGAUGAGUAGGGCGGGACACGUGGUAUCCUGUCUGAAUAUGGGGGGACCAUCCUCCAAGGCUAAAUACUCCUGACUGACCGAUAGUGAACCAGUACCGUGAGGGAAAGGCGAAAAGAACCCCGGCGAGGGGAGUGAAAAAGAACCUGAAACCGUGUACGUACAAGCAGUGGGAGCACGCUUAGGCGUGUGACUGCGUACCUUUUGUAUAAUGGGUCAGCGACUUAUAUUCUGUAGCAAGGUUAACCGAAUAGGGGAGCCGAAGGGAAACCGAGUCUUAACUGGGCGUUAAGUUGCAGGGUAUAGACCCGAAACCCGGUGAUCUAGCCAUGGGCAGGUUGAAGGUUGGGUAACACUAACUGGAGGACCGAACCGACUAAUGUUGAAAAAUUAGCGGAUGACUUGUGGCUGGGGGUGAAAGGCCAAUCAAACCGGGAGAUAGCUGGUUCUCCCCGAAAGCUAUUUAGGUAGCGCCUCGUGAAUUCAUCUCCGGGGGUAGAGCACUGUUUCGGCAAGGGGGUCAUCCCGACUUACCAACCCGAUGCAAACUGCGAAUACCGGAGAAUGUUAUCACGGGAGACACACGGCGGGUGCUAACGUCCGUCGUGAAGAGGGAAACAACCCAGACCGCCAGCUAAGGUCCCAAAGUCAUGGUUAAGUGGGAAACGAUGUGGGAAGGCCCAGACAGCCAGGAUGUUGGCUUAGAAGCAGCCAUCAUUUAAAGAAAGCGUAAUAGCUCACUGGUCGAGUCGGCCUGCGCGGAAGAUGUAACGGGGCUAAACCAUGCACCGAAGCUGCGGCAGCGACGCUUAUGCGUUGUUGGGUAGGGGAGCGUUCUGUAAGCCUGCGAAGGUGUGCUGUGAGGCAUGCUGGAGGUAUCAGAAGUGCGAAUGCUGACAUAAGUAACGAUAAAGCGGGUGAAAAGCCCGCUCGCCGGAAGACCAAGGGUUCCUGUCCAACGUUAAUCGGGGCAGGGUGAGUCGACCCCUAAGGCGAGGCCGAAAGGCGUAGUCGAUGGGAAACAGGUUAAUAUUCCUGUACUUGGUGUUACUGCGAAGGGGGGACGGAGAAGGCUAUGUUGGCCGGGCGACGGUUGUCCCGGUUUAAGCGUGUAGGCUGGUUUUCCAGGCAAAUCCGGAAAAUCAAGGCUGAGGCGUGAUGACGAGGCACUACGGUGCUGAAGCAACAAAUGCCCUGCUUCCAGGAAAAGCCUCUAAGCAUCAGGUAACAUCAAAUCGUACCCCAAACCGACACAGGUGGUCAGGUAGAGAAUACCAAGGCGCUUGAGAGAACUCGGGUGAAGGAACUAGGCAAAAUGGUGCCGUAACUUCGGGAGAAGGCACGCUGAUAUGUAGGUGAAGUGAUUUACUCAUGGAGCUGAAAUCAGUCGAAGAUACCAGCUGGCUGCAACUGUUUAUUAAAAACACAGCACUGUGCAAACACGAAAGUGGACGUAUACGGUGUGACGCCUGCCCGGUGCCGGAAGGUUAAUUGAUGGGGUUAGCGCAAGCGAAGCUCUUGAUCGAAGCCCCGGUAAACGGCGGCCGUAACUAUAACGGUCCUAAGGUAGCGAAAUUCCUUGUCGGGUAAGUUCCGACCUGCACGAAUGGCGUAAUGAUGGCCAGGCUGUCUCCACCCGAGACUCAGUGAAAUUGAACUCGCUGUGAAGAUGCAGUGUACCCGCGGCAAGACGGAAAGACCCCGUGAACCUUUACUAUAGCUUGACACUGAACAUUGAGCCUUGAUGUGUAGGAUAGGUGGGAGGCUUUGAAGUGUGGACGCCAGUCUGCAUGGAGCCGACCUUGAAAUACCACCCUUUAAUGUUUGAUGUUCUAACGUGGACCCGUAAUCCGGGUUGCGGACAGUGUCUGGUGGGUAGUUUGACUGGGGCGGUCUCCUCCUAAAGAGUAACGGAGGAGCACGAAGGUUGGCUAAUCCUGGUCGGACAUCAGGAGGUUAGUGCAAUGGCAUAAGCCAGCUUGACUGCGAGCGUGACGGCGCGAGCAGGUGCGAAAGCAGGUCAUAGUGAUCCGGUGGUUCUGAAUGGAAGGGCCAUCGCUCAACGGAUAAAAGGUACUCCGGGGAUAACAGGCUGAUACCGCCCAAGAGUUCAUAUCGACGGCGGUGUUUGGCACCUCGAUGUCGGCUCAUCACAUCCUGGGGCUGAAGUAGGUCCCAAGGGUAUGGCUGUUCGCCAUUUAAAGUGGUACGCGAGCUGGGUUUAGAACGUCGUGAGACAGUUCGGUCCCUAUCUGCCGUGGGCGCUGGAGAAUUGAGGGGGGCUGCUCCUAGUACGAGAGGACCGGAGUGGACGCAUCACUGGUGUUCGGGUUGUCAUGCCAAUGGCACUGCCCGGUAGCUAAAUGCGGAAGAGAUAAGUGCUGAAAGCAUCUAAGCACGAAACUUGCCCCGAGAUGAGUUCUCCCUGACUCCUUGAGAGUCCUGAAGGAACGUUGAAGACGACGACGUUGAUAGGCCGGGUGUGUAAGCGCAGCGAUGCGUUGAGCUAACCGGUACUAAUGAACCGUGAGGCUUAACC
rnacentral:rRNA from 1 species